UUGCAAACAUUUUUUUAUUUCUGAUUCCGAUUUGAACACCAAAAUAUACUCACAGAUGCUUUCUCAAAAUAAAACACUUAAAAAAAGCCCAGCAGACAGACUCUUUACACUUACAUUUUGUUAAAACACAAACGUAAAAAAAAAAAAAAAAAAAGUCCCGAGGCCUGAGUUUGAGAAAAGUAGGUUGACAAGCCACAACAUUUCACACUAACAGACUUUACCACCUUAUGAGCAUUUAACUGAUUACGUUUACUUUAUAAAAUACAUAUUCAUUUAUUCAGGUAUUAAUUAAACCAUUUUUACAAAAUAAACAGUCCUUGGUAUCUUAUAAAAAUGUACCUCUUCUCAGUCCAACAGAAUUGAAAACAACCAAUCUGGCUUCACAAAAAUAAUGAAUAUUGUGCACGCUCUACCUUCAUAUAUAUGCAUCUACAGCCACUCACAAAAGUUUCCACCAUGAUACGGCUCAAGACAGCUACUUCAAAGACAAGCAGACCAACUAGGUACAUAUUUUCAAGUAGCAUUU